AUGAUCGAAACGAUGGAUACCCAGCGGUGCCUGCAGGCAGUGGAGAGGCUACAGUCUCGCUUGAAGGAGAAGGGAGCAGAUGUUCCUGCGGAGGAGAAGCUGAAUCUCCUGAAAGCCGUCCUGCAGAGUCCUCUGUUCCUCCAGAUCCUCAGCCUGCAGAAAUCAGUGCAGCAUCUCAAGGAGCACGUAAGAAAACCCAACAAUACACUGCUUUCAUUUUGCGGCAGCAGCAAUGAAGGGUUCUCAGCUCAGCUCAAUGGACAGCCUUCACCUGAAGAGUACAAUCACAUCAUCCGCUCCAUGGCCCAGGGUCGGUACGUGACUCAAAUUGACCUACUGAAACCGGUAUCAGGCGGUUUGGGCUUCAGUGUUGUUGGACUGUGCAGUGAAAAUCGCGGAGAACUUGGCAUCUUCAUUCAGGAGAUUCAGCCUGGAAGUGUGGCAUACAGUGAUGGGAAACUGAAGGAGGGCGAUCAGAUACUGGCGAUUAAUGGUCAUCCACUGGAUCAGAGCGUCAGUCACCAGCAGGCCAUCGCUCUCCUCCAGCGGGCAUCGGAGAGGGUCACCCUGAGCGUGGCCCGCGGGCCAGUACCGCAGCUCUCCAGCCCCGUGGUGUCCAGAACACCCAGCGCCGCCAGCACACUGUCUGCACACUCCAGCGCGACCCACUGGACUCAUGUGGAGACCAUUGAGCUGGUCAAUGAUGGAACCGGACUGGGUUUUGGGAUUGUUGGUGGUAAAACCACUGGAGUUAUUGUGAAAACCAUCCUACCUGGAGGCAUCGCUGAUCAGGAUGGGCGUUUGCGAAGCGGCGAUCACGUCCUGCGCAUUGGGGAUACGGAUCUGUUGGGUCUGAGCAGUGAACAGGUCGCUCACGUCCUCAAACAAUGUGGAAACAGAGUCCGAUUGCUGAUCAGCCGCGGGAUGGCAGACGACGUUUCGGCCGCUCCUGUUUCCCUGCCCACCGUCAAUGAGCAACAGAUCUAUAGUUUUACCGAGUCAUGCGACUUCGAGGAGCAGGACGCUUUCGAUGUGAGCUUGACGAAGAAUGCUCAGGGUUUGGGCAUCACCAUUGCUGGAUAUGUAGGAGACAAAACCUCAGAGCCCUCUGGGAUAUUCGUGAAGAGCAUUUCGAGGGACAGCGCCGUGGAGCAGGACGGACGGGUUCAUGUUGGAGAUCAGAUCAUAGCUGUGGACGGUGUGAACAUCCAGGGUUACACUAACCAGCAGGCUGUGGAGGUUUUGAGACACACUGGUCAAACUGUAAACCUGCAACUGGUGCGCCGCGGCUUUAAGCCAGAGGACGCCUGUCCGUCAAUCAUUCCUGUCGCUGUGGAGACAGAUCCCGCCCACACUCAACCGGUGGACGUGGAUAAUGUUGGCAUGUCUCAAUCAGGUCCUGUGAAGCUGAGCGCUCAGGAGGAACUCGCACUUCAGCAGAGAUGGCAGAAUCAGCUCGGCGUCUGCUCUCAAGUCAUCGUGGCUCAGGUGGAGAAGUUCAGUGAGAGCAGUGGUUUAGGGAUCAGUCUGGACGUUUGUGCCGGACAUCAUUACCUGCGCUCCGUGCUUCCAGAGGGACCCGUCGGCCGAUCCGGAAAAAUCUGCAGUGGAGACGAACUGCUGGAGGUGAAUGGUGUUCCCCUCAGAGGAGAGACUCAUAAAGAGGUUGUUGACAUUCUGAAAGAACUUCCUGUUUGUGUGACCAUGGUCUGCUGUAGACCCGCCUCUCUGGUGACUGACAGCCAGACUGACCAACCACAGCUCGAGGACACGCCCUCAAAUGCCAUACCUCAGGUAUUGAACAUUCUCACCAUGUGGGAGACAGAGAUCCAGGACAUCCAGCUGGAGAAAGGAGAGAGCGGCCUGGGAUUCAGCAUUCUGGAUUAUCAGGACCCGCUGGACCCUCUAAAGACAGUGAUAGUGAUCCGCUCAUUGGUUCCGGAUGGCGUGGCAGAGCGGGACGGUCGUCUGCUACCCGGAGACCGUCUGAUGUUCGUCAACAGCAUCGACCUGCAGAGCGGCAGUCUGGAGGAGGCAGUGCAGGCACUGAAGGGGGCACCCAUGGGCAGCGUCCGCAUCGGAGUGGCCAAACCCCUGCCUGUGAGAAACACCACACUUUUAGUACUGCUGCUGCUGCUGUCUGUGUGUAUCGACUCCAGUGAUUUAGAUCUGUCUGAUGAGAAAGCGUUUGAGCGCCACUUUCUGGAGGAGGAAGAGGAAAAUCAGCAGUCGAUGAUCGCUGAACACGGCAGUUUCUGCAGCGCUGAUCUGACCUAUCAGACAAACAGACACACCUCCACACUGCAGGUAUGCAUAUCUAGCAGAAUGACGGUGUGCGCGCUGAAGGACGGUCCAGGGAUGUUGAUCCGCAGCAUCAUUCACGGCGGCUCCAUCAGUCGGGACGGCCGGCUGCGGGUCGGGGAUCUGAUUCUAGCCAUUAAUGGAGAGCUGACGGGGAAUCUGACCAAUGCACAGGCCAGAGCCAUGCUGCGCAGACACUCUCUGAUCGCAUCGGACAUGGGGAUCACGUAUGUUCCUGCAGAAUAUUUAGAGGAAUACCGAGCAAGCGUGCAGCCCCAGAGUGACGAUAUCUCUGAUGGAAAAAGCGGCUCUCAACUUCAGACACUGUCAGAUCUUCCAGAGAGAGAGGAUGGAGAAGGACAGGAGAGCGAACGACAAGCCAACAACUGGAAUCUGCCUCGCAGAGUUGAGCUGCUCAAGGAAGCUGGGAAAUCUCUGGGCAUCAGUAUUGUUGGUGGGCGGGGCAUGGGCUGUCGCCUUAGCAACGGGGAAGUGAUGCGGGGCAUCUUCAUUAAACACAUCUUGGAGGACAGUCCUGCAGGACGCAACGGCACUCUAAAGACUGGAGACAGGAUUGUAGAGGUGGGAGGAGUGGACCUGCGUGAUGCCAGUCAUGAGCAGGCGGUGGAGGCCAUCCGUAACGCUGCAAACCCGGUGGUGUUCCUGGUCCAGAGCAUCAUUCAGAAAGACAGAGUCAACUCGGACACGCUGACGGAGAUUCCUGACCGACUGGACCUUCAUCACAACGCUCCUGAUGAGGAAGAGGAGGAUGAGUACGGAUACAGCUGGAAGAAGGUCAGCGAGCGCUAUGGUCGUCUGCCGGGUGAGCUCCACAUCCUCCAGCUCGAGAAAGGUCGUGCGGGUUUGGGUUUGAGUCUGGCUGGCAACCGCGAUCGUUCUCGAAUGAGUGUGUUUGUGGUCGGCAUUGAUCCCAGCGGUGCGGCCGGACAAGAUGGACACAUCCUGGUGGGAGAUGAGCUGCUGGAGAUUAACGGUCAGGUUCUGUACGGUCGCAGUCAUCAGAACGCCUCCGCCAUCAUUAAAAGCGCCCCUUCAAAGGUCAAGAUCAUCUUCAUCCGGUGGGAGGAUGGAGGAGUCGGGAUGGAGGAGGACAGCAGGAGCGGAUGCAGCAUACACAGUGUCGAGGAGAACGGAGCCGCUGGAUGGGUAAGAGUUAUCAAGUGUGCACAUUUACAGAUGUGUGAGAGUUUUAGAAAAUAUGUAUGCUUUUACUUCUGCCAUGGCGUUCACUUUUAUCCCGUGGCACUUCUUGUAAAGAUUAUCCGGUACUCCAGCAGAUGCUCCACACCGGCAACACUGGCGUCUGAUCCGACCACAUGUCCCAUCAUCCCCGGCUGCGAGACCACCAUAGAGAUCUGCAAGGGCAGAACGGGACUGGGUCUGAGUAUAGUUGGUGGCUGCGAUACUUUACUGGGCGCUAUAAUCAUUCAUGAAGUGUACGAGGAAGGAGCUGCGUCUAAAGAUGGCCGACUGUGGGCAGGAGAUCAGAUUCUGGAGGUGAAUGGCAUAGACCUGCGUGUGGCGACUCAUGAUGAAGCCAUAAAUGUCCUCCGUCAGACUCCGCAGCGCGUGCGGCUCUCCGUCUUCAGAGACGAGGCUCAGUAUAAAGAGGAAGAGCUGUGGGACUCGCUGAGCGUCGAGCUGCAGAAGAAGCCCGGACAGGGACUCGGACUCAGCAUCAUCGGCCGAAGGAGCGACACCGGUGUGUUUGUGUCUGAUAUAGUGAAGGGUGGAGUGGUGGAGCAGGACGGUCGGCUCCUGCAGGGAGAUCAGAUCCUCUCAGUCAAUGGAGAAGAUGUUCGUUCGGCCACGCAGGAGUCUGUGGCGUCUCUGCUGAAGAGUUCUGCUGGUCCAAUCCGAUUGGAGAUCGGACGCUUUAAGGCGGGGCCUUUUCACUCGGAGCGCCGUCUGUCUCAGAGCAGUCAGGUUACACUUCAGUCCUCUUCGCCAGGAGAAACAGACAAAACUCACGAAUGUAAGAACUCUCUGGGCAUCAGUAUAGCUGGUGGUGUUGGCAGUCCUCUGGGUGAUGUGCCCAUCUUCAUCGCCAUGAUGAACCCCAGCGGCCUCGCAGCGCACACACACAAACUCUGGAUUGGAGACAGGAUUGUGUCCAUCUGUGGAAACUCAACAGAAGGAAUGAGUCACAAUAAAGCUGUUUCACUGCUGAAGAACACAACUGGCCUUAUACAACUACAGGUUGUUGCUGGAGAUACAUCAGUGACGGGACCUUCAGCAGAGCAGACAGCAGGACUCACAGCCAGCAGCAUCUUCCAUGAUGACCUGGGUCCUCCGCAGUGUAAGAGCAUCAGUCUGGAGCGCGGGCCUGAUGGACUGGGCUUCAGUAUUGUUGGAGGAUUCGGCAGCCCUCACGGAGACCUUCCCAUCUACAUCAAAACCGUCUUCAGCAAGGGAGCGGCAUCAGAGGACGGGCGUCUGAAGCGGGGAGAUCAGAUCAUCGCUGUGAACAGUCAGAGUCUGGAGGGAGUCACUCAUGAAGAGGCCGUUUCUAUUCUGAAGAAGACCAAAGGCACCGUCACACUCACUGUGCUCUCAUAA
ensembl:processed_transcript